rnacentral:rRNA from 1 species
AGAGUUUGAUCAUGGCUCAGAACGAACGCUGGCGGCAGGCCUAACACAUGCAAGUCGAGCGCGCCUUUCGGGGUGAGCGGCGGACGGGUUAGUAACGCGUGGGAAUAUGCCCUUUGGUACGGAAUAGCCUCUGGAAACGGAGAGUAAUACCGUAUGAGCCCUUCGGGGGAAAGAUUUAUCGCCAAAGGAUUAGCCCGCGUUAGAUUAGGUAGUUGGUGGGGUAAUGGCCUACCAAGCCUACGAUCUAUAGCUGGUUUUAGAGGAUGAUCAGCAACACUGGGACUGAGACACGGCCCAGACUCCUACGGGAGGCAGCAGUGGGGAAUCUUGGACAAUGGGGGCAACCCUGAUCCAGCCAUGCCGCGUGAGUGAAGAAGGCCCUAGGGUCGUAAAGCUCUUUCGCCUGUGAAGAUAAUGACGGUAGCAGGUAAAGAAACCCCGGCUAACUCCGUGCCAGCAGCCGCGGUAAUACGGAGGGGGUUAGCGUUGUUCGGAAUUACUGGGCGUAAAGCGCACGUAGGCGGAUCGGAAAGUUGGGGGUGAAAUCCCGGGGCUCAACCCCGGAACUGCCUCCAAAACUAUCGGUCUAG